CCCCUUUCAUCGUCGGCAGGCGACGCCUAUAUUCGGGAUGCCGGCGCAAGCCGGAUAUGGCGAUAAAUGGGUGUCGGAAUAAGCCUUUCGGACCCGGGGGCGGUACCCGGCGCCUCCACCAGAGCCCAACUUCCCCUUACAGGGUGGCGGGCUCCGGCGGGGGCGAAAUAGGAUCGACGAGGGUGUAAAGGGCAUACUUUCGCUCGGCAUGGUUCCGCCGUCAUCGGGCCGAACUGAUAGUUGCGAAUGACAACUAUGCUCCGGUUGCUCAGGCCGCGUGAGCGGUUUGACGAUCGAAAUCAAAGUCCUACCGGGUAGCACUGGCUAGGCGGGGUUCGGAGGCACCUGGCAACAGAAGCCUCCACU
rnacentral:tmRNA from 1 species